UACCCUUGUACUCUUCCCACUUAUGGUA
rnacentral:sRNA from 1 species